rnacentral:misc_RNA from 1 species
UCCGGUUUGUCACCGGCAGUCUCCUUAGAGUGCCCAACUGAAUGCUGGCAACUAAGGACAAGGGUUGCGCUCGUUGCGGGACUUAACCCAACAUCUCACGACACGAGCUGACGACAACCAUGCACCACCUGUUCACAGACCCUUGCGGACCCCACAUCUCUGUAGGAUUUCUGUGAAUGUCAAGCCUUGGUAAGGUUCUUCGCGUCGCAUCGAAUUAAGCCACAUGCUCCGCCGCUUGUGCGGGCCCCCGUCAAUUCCUUUGAGUUUUAGCCUUGCGGCCGUACUCCCCAGGCGGGGCGCUUAAUGCGUUAGCUGCGGCACAGAGGACGUGGAAGGUCCCCCACACCUAGCGCCCAACGUUUACGGCGUGGACUAC